rnacentral:rRNA from 1 species
GUCCACGCAGUAAACGAUGAAUACUAGCUGUAUGCGAUAUACUGUAUGUGGCAAAGCGAAAGCGUUAAGUAUUCCACCUGGGGAGUACGUUCGCAAGAAUGAAACUCAAAGGAAUUGACGGGGGCCCCGCACAAGCGGAGGAACAUGUGGUUUAAUUCGAUGAUACGCGAGGAACCUUACCCGGGCUUGAAAUGCAGAGGAAUGACUUGGAAACAGGUCCGCCAGCAAUGGUCUCUGUGUAGGUGCUGCAUGGUUGUCGU